UUUCUAGAGGCCUGAAGGGGACAACUGGGGCAACCAGGAUCACAGGAGGCUUCCUAAGUCUGAGGAAUGCAGAGCACCGCACCAGUGGGGUAGCAGAUUUCUCAUCUGUACAGAGGAGGAUGUGUACUCUGGGCUCAGACACCUCUUCCUGCAUUUCCUGGAGAGCAGCUUGCUCAGCGCUACCUGGUUGGGGGACAUCUAAGCUGAGUUGGAACACAGGACAUGCAGCCAAGAACCAUUGUUGAGAAUCCUCCUGGGAGGGUGUGGGCAGGGCUCUGGGCAAUGAGACAUGUUAAGUGACAAGGGUCUGGACCAAGGAUGAGUUUUCUGGGCAAGGCCUUGCACCCUACUCACACACUGCCUGCAGGAGCUCUGGACCCUCACGUGGGAUGAUCAGAACAGCAGGAUCUUUCACGUUGCACGUGUUAAAACGUCUCUACAAGCUGACCAAGGGCCUGUGACUCAGCAUUCCUGCUCCCACGCAGGUUUGCAGCGGUGCCAACUGACGGAAAUCCCAGGAGAGGCCAGCAGCUAUCCAGGCCCAACAGCCCCCAAGUCCCGGCUCUACAGACCUCCAGCCCUCCUCUCUCAACCUUCGACCUGCCAGGGCCAUUGGUGUGUUUUACGGCCAUCGCUUCUCAAGUCGCUCAGCUCCUCGAGUCAGCUGCUACUAGUGCCCAGCUUGUCUUAAUCAAUUACUGCGGGGCUUUGUGGGCCCCACCCUCCACACCCCAUGUAUCCCCAGCAUAGGGUAGUGGGAGGUGAGAUGGACCCCAGGAGGUUGGGUGACGCAGCCAGGGAACAGAACCCGCGUGCUGGCCCUGCAGAGGCGGGACGUGGCCCGCCUGUGAGGGCUGUGGGUGGGUGGGGUGCCUGCUCGAGCUGAGUCACCCGCUGGCACCAGGAAGCCUGGCCGCAUGACCUCCAAGCUGAGGCAACUUGGACUUGCUGAAUAUGAGCAAAGUUACUACUGUUUCCUAGAAGCAACGGGGAGUUGAUGAGUUUCACCGAGCAUCUCCUUCCUAGAACGGUCACCAUCCUGGGGGCACCUCUAGGGUCAGCGGGAACAGGGUCAAGUGAAGUCACAUGAAGGGUGGGGACAUCUCCACCUGCAGACACUGGGUGCUCCCUUUGAGCAGAGGAAAUGGUUUGGAUCUGUCUUGCAGAUGCAUUUGUGAGACAACUUGUCUAAGUAUCUUAGACCAAGGAAGAGAUGAAGCUUACAAGACCCAGGAACUGCUCACACACUCAGAUACACAGACACACACAGACUGUGAGAUACACCCAGACAUUCACUCACAGGGAACACAUCCACACCUCACACUCCUGCAUGCUUAUAGACACCCACCCUGCCAGCCCUGCACACACCCUUGGCCUGACGGACAGGCUGGAGACCGAGGGCCCCAGGCCGACUUGAGACUCCAGGGCUUAGAACAGAAAUGGCAAGAACAUGCUGACUUUCUGCCUUGGCCCGUUCAGGGCUGCCAUGUGAGUACCCUGGUCCUGCCCCUGACUUGAGCCUCUACUAUCCCAUCCAUGAACCAGGCAUCAAGGACUGACCAGCUUGCUUAAGUGGAACCACCCCUGAAGCAUCGAACACAGAGGGCAGAAAACACGGGGAAGUGUGGAGGGCUUCCCAGAGCUCUGGCUUCUGCAUUGGUUCGCCCAGCCCUCCCAGCACUGCAGCUUGACCGCUUGCCCUGAGCGCACACUUCCCAGCUAGCAGGGGAGCCUCAGCAACCACCUGAGGCUUCAGGGAGUGGGGGUCCCACCGGAGGAAGCCCAGCCCUUUGCCCUUCCAGCGCUCCUGCAUCGCCACCUGCUGGCCACGAGGAGCAUCGGUGUGCGCCUGGCACAAGCCCUGGGCAUUAGCCCAGGUUCCCAGAGCCCCCCAACAGGUUCAAGACAGUGGGUAGGGGUGUAGGCUGGCAAGGCCAGGGACCUGGCCCCCAAUUUCUAGAGUCAGGAAGGGCAGAAGCAAAGCUUUGGCGCCAGGAGCUGGGCUCCGUUCCCAGACUUCCUCCUGGAAAUGGGCGAGCGCAGGAGGGCUGGACGCUGAGCCACGGUGGCUGGCUAAACCUUCCAACCCUGCUCCCUGCCCCGGUCCUCUGCAGGCCCCAGAGCUGAGGCAUCUCCUUGAUAAAGCAGGGUUCAGGUAAGGACACAGGCUCCCAUGGAAUGGGUCAGCUGAUUCCUGGACGCACCCAGAGCUCCAAGGACAUGGCCUGAUCUCUAGUCCAUGAGGUGACCCUUGGCAGGACACCCCAAGUCAGCAAACAGGGUGCAGAGGAUGUGAAAGAAUAUUUGGGGGAAUCUGCUGCAAGUUUUGUGUGGCUUAUGACUGUGUACCUCGAAUUCCACUCGAGACAGUGCAUUGCCUUUUCACCAAGCUGCACAAUCCCUCUGCCUCUGGGCUUCUGCAUUCCCGCUGCCUCUGCUCAGCCCCACAGCUCCCCCACAUCCAGGUGACAGCAGCCCUGCCUUCUCCCCACCCCAACACACACUGGGAGCAUUCCUGGGUCUUGCUCCUUUGUUAUUCAGGAGCCUGGUGUCAUUCUCUGUAAAAGCUGACUCUUAACUAAAAACAACAGUGUUAACAGUUCACCUAAAAAAAUAUAUUAAAGCUUAAUUGAACCAGA